CUUAAACGACGAAAGGUCAACGAAAUCCACACAAUAGAAAUUGUUGAAAACCACAGCGACACCUCGUCGGACAAUGGAGUGCUACACAUAACAACGGAAGGAGUCCAGUACGCAGUCGUGCAGAGGCAGGCGGCCACACAGAGGAUUGAAACGCAG